UACCCAUGGUGGGAAUACAGAUUUAAUAGAUCUUUAAAACGCUCCCAAGCUUGAUAAAGAGUUUUGUUUUCCUUCUGAGCGAAAGUUGAGAUCUGUCGUUUCAAAUU
rfam:Morus notabilis contig1810, whole genome shotgun sequence.